UUCCGUACGAUCACUGAAGUUAAGCAACGUCGAGCCUGGUCAGUACCCAGAUGGUUGACCGCUUGGGAAUGUUAGAUGAUGUAG